UUUCACACAUCUUUCAUCAACAUAUUAUAAGCUUGUAAAAUGUAACGUUUAUCUUCUAUAAAGAUGAAUGUAAAUGUAAACAACAAAGCAAAGAAUAUGUAAUAUUGAAAGAGAAUGAAAGAAGGAAAAAAUCAAAUUCCAUCUUAAUAGUUGUUCGAUGUGUUUUGAUUACCGAGAGAUAGAACUUUAGAAACCCGCAUCCACCCAUAUGCAACCGUCCAUGCAUAAUUUCUUGGAAUUGUUAACCCCAGACCCAACCCGCGUCCAACCAGACGUUUCAAUGUAUUGUCGAUUAAAUCGAUUUCGAGUUGGAUCACGACUCCGUACUCUGCCCGGUUAAUAAACCCUCAAAAGAGUGGCAAAAUGUUGCAUCAAUACAUAAUCUAGUCUUCAUAACUUGUUUAACUUCAUUGCUUCUUAGAGUUUUCAGAACUUACUUUCAUAAAAAAAUUUACUGAUAUUAUGAAAGAUUACAAAAAUUGUUUUUGUGAUCCUGCACAUUUCAGAAUAAAAAUUAGUACUACCAAUUGUGCAUUUAAUACUUUUGUUAUCAUCAAAACUUUAAAUAUAAGGUAGGGAUUUUAGAACCAUUUUUAUUCCAACACAGUAUUCUCACCUCCCUGAACAAAAUUUGGGUCUUUUUGUAUUUAAUUAUCUUCCGUCACAAGUACAUGAAGACUGUCGUCAGUCAUAUCCUCGGGCAAAAGGUAAUUAAAUAGGGGCAACUGGCAACUGUCAUAUCCUAAAUUUUGUCGACCUUAUUUACCCGGUCAUUUAAACUUUUUCGUAACACGAGAUUUUUUCCUUCGCAGCAAUGUUUGCACAUUUUGUUUUCGUCUGAGUCAAAGUCAACUGUGUUGGCUAUUUGGUCGAAAGUUUUUGUCAUUUUUCUUAUUUUUAGUUGAAUUGUUUUUUUUUUCAACUUUCUCAUUCUAUAAAUAACAUAAUCCAUACUUUCAUUCUCACUCACAACUCUCAUCAAACUCUCCGACCUACUAGCCAAAAUGGUUGAUAUGUUGCAUCUUGUUAAUCUAGUGCAUCGUGCCAUCGUGGGCCACAUGAGUGGAGUCGAGCACAAGCAGCUGCCCUUUGGUACCAUCUUGCAUUAGGAGCUGUAGAUCGAAAGAACCACCAUGUUAGCUUCCAAACUAGCAGUGGUCGAAGGACAGAAAUUCACCACAUUUUCUAUCUUAGAAUUGGACCACCUGAGCGGGGAAUUAUUUUUGAAGUGAGAGAUGCGUUUAGCAAUCAAGGGAUACAAAUACAGUUAUUGGGUUUUCUUUAUCUUUUACUUGUUUAUACUUGUUUUUAUUUUAUCUUUUAGGUUUUUAUGUUUUGUGUUCAUAAAUGUUAUUGGAACUACCAAUCUGGAGACAACUACUUGACAACGAGUGUACUUUUGUCAUUUCAAAUUAACCUUUCUUCUUCACCUUCAUCAUUAUUCUUGCGUUUAUCUUCCAUGCUACUGUCGCUCUUAAAUCUUCGGCCACCGUCGUCGUCGCCGUCACCUCUCUCUAUUGUUUAAUAUAUCUCUCUCAUCAGAUCUGAGUAUUUUUAAACCACGUCGUCUCUGUUCUUCUUCAACGUGGUCGUGGUCGUCAUUAUUUUCUGACCACCAUCAUAACCGCUGCGACCUAUUUCUUUACUCGUUCUCCAAAUUUGGAGUCUUUUCCGACCACUGUUGUAACAUCCAUUGUUGAAGAACGGUGACCAUGGGGAAUAAAGUGGGUGAGAAAGAAAAGGAGAUGCAAUUAUUGAAAAGGAAAAGGGAAAGAUGAAAAAAAUGGAAGAUGAAUAGUAAGAACGAUGGAAAGAGAAGAGAGAGUGUCAUGUCUUUUUUUUUUAGUAUUUGAAAAAGUUGUCAUAUAUUUGUCCAAAAUUGUUGUUGCAAUACAUUUAUGUUUAUAUUUUCCCUUUUUAUUUAUUUUUCUGAUUAAUUUUCUUUUAUGCAGUAUAAAUCAAGGAAAUAUGGUUUGUUGUCUGUGUUCUGUAAAUGCCAAUAUCUUACGAGAUUAAAUCAUGAAUACCCCAGUUAUUUGGGGUGUGGAUGGUUUGUUACCAAUUUUUGAAUAGACGGCCGAACAAGAGGGUGAUAAUUUUAUAUAUAAAAUUAGAGAUCCAUUCGGUUUCAAGUGGAUAAUAAUGCCAACUGAGCUAUUAUCCGAUCAAGUAUUUCAAUGGAAAAAUGAUCCUUUCGCACAAGAAAUGAUGAUUUAUUCGGCUCAUCUAAUCUAUCUCAUAGAUAGGCCACGAGCUACCCAAGCAUCUACAUGGUACCAACAAGUGCUUGGUUGCGUCGUUGUGCACGACUUACCUUUUACCCUUAUUGGAAUCAAUGGUAAUGUUGCCAUAGACCAUGCUCACUAUUUGAGCUUAGGGUAUGGAAACAGGCGUGUUAUACUUGAGAUUAGAGAUCGACAACUGUAAGUUCUAUAUAUUUUCAUUCAUUAAAAAGUGUCGAUGACAUUCAUUUCGAAAUAAUUGUUUUUUGUUAAAGUGACAUUUAUUUUGAACAAUUUUUAAUUAUUUGUUUAAUUUUUUAUUAUUUGUUUCAACUUCUAUUUCUUUUAUGGUGUGGGCACAACAUAUUGCGACAAUUUUGCAAUAGCCACACAAACUGCCGCAAACAAUUUCGCGUCGGUUAAAACCGUCGAAAAAUAUAAAAAUAAAAUUGAAAAAAUUGAACCCUUUCGCGGUGGUUUUAAACCGUCACUAUUGCAUUUAAAUUUAAAUUUUGUUUUACCGGCCGUUUGAAACCACCACGAUCUCUAUUUUUUUAAAAUAAAAAUAAAAAUCUUUCUAUCCAUUUUUUUGCUGAAACUGUUUUUGCAAUUAAUUGUUCUUUCCCUUUUUCUUUCUACUUAAUGACUAAUGUUCACUCAUUUGUUAGUUUGUUUAGUGAUGAUUGAUGCUUAGUAAAGAGGACCACGGUUAAAUCAUCCACAACUAACCGCUUGAUGUCAGAACUAACCACUGAACCAGAUUAAAUUGGUGGUGAAAGGCAAAAAACAAUUACUAUUGUUCACCACAAAACUACUAAAUUUAAGUCAAAACAAAAUUUUCAUCCAUUCAUAAACAAGGUCUUGUCUUGUAGUAAAAUUAUAAGUUGUCAUUGAGAUAAAAUAAAGAUAGCCAAAUAUACCUAAACACAACAAAAGUUCAACACAUUACACAUCAUGUGUUUAAUCAGCCAAAAUACAUACCAACACAUUAUGUCUAAUCAAACAUAAACUAUAAAUGAUCUGUAUGAUAUAAACUUUCAAUUUAAUGAUGUAUUUUAUACAAUUUAUAUCGGUUAAAACGUUAAUUGUUGGUUGGUUAAAAUAAUUGUUUAUAAACAAUCUUUUUAGUUAAAAUAAUUGUUUAUACCGUCACUAUUGCACGAGUCUUUUUUUUUUUUAGUUAAAACAAACUUUUUUACCCAAGCGCGGUCAAAACUUUUUUUAAUAAUUAAAAUCAACCAACCAACGAUUUAGUGGUUAAGGAAAGGGAAAAGCUAACGUGUUCCUGAAGCGUCUGGAAAAAUGUGUGGGCGUAAAACACUCGCUUAGACAGUAAAGUCGCCACCGAACUUUAUUUAUUCCUGAAGGAAAAGGAAAAUAUCGAUAAAACCUUGGAAGAAAUGGGAAGAUGGUCGUCGCAACCAUUUUCGGGAGUCGAUUAUGUGAGGGAAAGGUAUUAGCACCCCUCACAUCCAUUGUACUCAACGGGAACCUUCUCGUUAAUUUUAGGGUUAAAAGUGUUUUAAUUUAUUUGGCUGCUUUUUAUUAAUUAUCGGGGUUAUUUACAAGAGGGGGAAAAAGUUAGUUUUUUAUUAGUGUGCUUGACAAGAUGUCGAAUCUUGCUCCUAUGUAUUCCCGGGUGCGAUGGGAAGCUCAAAGCUACACGUAGUUCUUUGUAGAAAAUAAUUGUUGGUUGGUUGAUUUUAAUUAUUAAAAAAAGUUUUGACCGCGCUUGGGUAAAAAGUUUGUUUUAACUAAAAAAAAAGACUCGUGCCUGAAAGAUGGUACCCGUUUGAGAAAAAAAAGAUUGAGCGUGCAUGGCCGCGAAAAGAGUGAAGUUUGAUGAGUCGAAAUUGAUUUUAAGUUAUGGAUGACAAACAACCGAUAGGCAAGGCGCAUGGCCAGCGUUAGGUCAUUUGAGGUAUGAGCGGAUGUACAUCCGCCGGUCCCCUUUUCAAUCCAAUUUUAUUUAUUAAUUUCUAUUUGUGGAAGAUAAACAAUCGGUAGGCAAGGCGCGCGACCAACGUUCAGUCAUUCGAGGAUGAGCGGAUGUACAUCCGCCGGUUCCGUUUUAAUCCAAUUUUAUUUAUUAAUUUUUAUUUGAUCUUUGCUUAAAAAAUAUUAAAAUAUACAUGUUGAUGUACUGAGUAGUAUGACAACAAUAUAAAAAAUACAAGAAAUAUUUGUACAAACCAUGGUGCUCGUAAAUUUGUUCUCAGAGAGCAAUAAAAGGUGGCGAAACACAUAUAGCCUUAAAUUCAAUAAGAGGAUCAACAAAAAUUGUGUUUUGUUGCUUUUCAACGUGAACAUACAUCAAUUCAAUUUUAACCAUGACAAUUCUCUAUACACUUAACACCUACUCUACUCAUAUGAAUAACAUGUUAUAUACACAUCCUAUAAGCCAAAGAUAUUAUGACAAGUGUAGAUUGAAAUCAUCAAAUAAUAAUAACAAAAUAAGGGCAAUAAAAAACAAAUUGGCUUUUGCAAAGGAAUAAGAGACAAGAAUUGUGUACCGUUCUUCUUUCUCGGCUUCCUUUUUUUCUCUGCAAUUUUUCUAUGAUUCUUUUCACCUUUUCUUCUUUCAAUGUUGCCUGCCGUUUUCUUUAGUUCUCUCGACUCAGAUUUUGGUGGAGCCGAAAGNNNNNNNNNNNNNNNNNNNNNNNNNNNNNNNNNNNNNNNNAGCAAUUGUGCUGUUCUUUUUCAGUAUUAUUUUUUGUUCUAUUUAUCCUCUAAUUUCUGCCUCAAAUCUUUUGUAGUUUGGUUCUCUCUCUGUUUUUGCCUGUAAUCUCCUCCUCCUCGUAUUUUUUUUCUCUAUGUGAUUUAUAUCCAAGAAAUGUUCGGAAUGGAAUUAAAUUGUAUGAAUUCAAUGAGGUUUAUGGAUGGAUCGAAUCAAAUCAUAUGAAUUGAAUUGGGUUUAUGGUGAUUUAUGAAUGAAUGAGAAUUUUCCUUUGUUGGAUGAUUCAUGCGUGUACCUUAGCCGUUAGUGUUACCCUUAUCUCUUUUGAUUUUUUGUUUUUUUAAAAAACUAAUAAAAAAUAAAAUGAAAUAAAACAAAAUAAAAUGAAAAAAAGGACACUAGUGAGAUUCGAACUCGUGACCUU
rnacentral:lncRNA from 1 species